UUAGAAGCUUGCUUCUAUGACGUUAGCGGCGGACGGGUGAGUAACACGUGGGCAACCUGCCUGUAAGACUGGGAUAACUUCGGGAAACCGAAGCUAAUACCGGAUAGGAUCUUCUCCUUCAUGGGAGAUGAUUGAAAGAUGGUUUCGGCUAUCACUUACAGAUGGGCCCGCGGUGCAUUAGCUAGUUGGUGAGGUAACGGCUCACCAAGGCAACGAUGCAUAGCCGACCUGAGAGGGUGAUCGGCCACACUGGGACUGAGACACGGCCCAGACUCCUACGGGAGGCAGCAGUAGGGAAUCUUCCGCAAUGGACGAAAGUCUGACGGAGCAACGCCGCGUGAGUGAUGAAGGCUUUCGGGUCGUAAAACUCUGUUGUUAGGGAAGAACAAGUACGAGAGUAACUGCUCGUACCUUGACGGUACCUAACCAGAAAGCCACGGCUAACUACGUGCCAGCAGCCGCGGUAAUACGUAGGUGGCAAGCGUUAUCCGGAAUUAUUGGGCGUAAAGCGCGCGCAGGCGGUUUCUUAAGUCUGAUGUGAAAGCCCACGGCUCAACCGUGGAGGGUCAUUGGAAACUGGGAACUUGAGUGCAGAAGANAAAAGC
rnacentral:rRNA from 2 species